rnacentral:rRNA from 1 species
GAUGAACGCUGGCUACAGGCUUAACACAUGCAAGUCGAGGGGAAACGACGGGGAAGCUUGCUUCCCCGGGCGUCGACCGGCGCACGGGUCAGUAACGCGUAUCCAACCUGCCUCUGACUGAGGGAUAACCCGUCGAAAGUCGGCCUAAUACCUCAUGGUAUCGUCUGCGGGCAUCCAACGACGAUUAAAGAUUUCAUCGGUCAGGGAUGGGGAUGCGUCUGAUUAGCUUGUUGGCGGGGUAACGGCCCACCAAGGCUACGAUCAGUAGGGGUUCUGAGAGGAAGGUCCCCCACAUUGGAACUGAGACACGGUCCAAACUCCUACGGGAGGCAGCAGUGAGGAAUAUUGGUCAAUGGGCGAGAGCCUGAACCAGCCAAGUAGCGUGCAGGAAGACGGCCCUAUGGGUUGUAAACUGCUUUUAUGCGGGGAUAAAGUGAGGGACGUGUCCCUCAUUGCAGGUACCGCAUGAAUAAGGACCGGCUAAUUCCGUG